ensembl:lncRNA
GACGGAGCCUUCGUCCACGUGCUCACUUCAGCUGCAACGGAUGGGCAGAGAGAAGAAGACGCGACCUGGGGAGCCCGAGCAGAGCACCGUGGAGGAGUGGACGGACGUUCAGAGAACUGGCAAAGCAGACGGCGCAGGGGCAGCACAGCCAGCAGAGCCCUGGCGAGGACCCAAGUCCCUGCCCCAGCAAGACCCGAGGGACAGUGGCGGCAGCGAGGGCAGACCUGAGACGGGAGGAAGGCAGAUGGCAGCAUGGAAUCCCAUUUGGAUAAACACCUCUGAAGCCCUCACAGAGUGUGCGGCCUGGCCCUCAGGCAGACACUGAAGCACUGCUAGCCAAGUGGUCACCUUCAGCCCCCUGGUCCCCUUCCCUCCCUUGGUGGUUGCAGCUUCCAGACUCAGAGCCUUCUCCCCCAACCAACACCAGCCUCGGGAACAUUCCUCAUAAUUGCAGAGCAGCCAGUACGAUGGGAUGAGUAAUCGUCAACGCUCUCACUUCUCUGCCAUGUCCCCAAAUGCCUCUCAGCGUGUGCAAGAGAGAACUUCAGAGCCCAGCUCUUCCGUGGGUUCUGCCGAUGUCCCUGACUGAAUCUCCCAGCAUGCUUCACCAGGAGUCACCAGGCAAAGCUCUCUGGCCACUUGGGACACAGGGGCCCCUUUUAGAGGAAUAGCUUGGUCAGCCAGGCACAGCUGAAAUGAACCAUCUUAAAAUCAAUUAACUCUGCACCCUUCACAGAAAAUAAAGUCCACUGAGACACCUACUGGCCCGGAGUAACUUUUGGCUUUGGAGAGGUCAUGUGAUGACUUGGUUUCCUC